GGUCGAGUAGUCUCCCCACAUGGUGUAAGGCUGGUACGGGGGUGUUAUGGAUGGCUCUGGGCUGGGAUUUCUGCAUUCAUGAUAUAUUUGUUUUGUAUCUGCUAUGGGCCUAUUGGUUUCAUUCUGAUUUCUGUACUGGGCCAAGGCCCAGAUAAGUCUGACUUUGAGGUUUGAUCUGUUUUGGGCUAUGGUUGGGUUAUGUUACACACUGAGUUUGCCG
rnacentral:lncRNA from 1 species